rnacentral:rRNA from 1 species
UCUUAGCUUGCUAAGGCUGAUGGCGACCGGCGCACGGGUGAGUAACACGUAUCCAACCUGCCGUCUACUCUUGGCCAGCCUUCUGAAAGGAAGAUUAAUCCAGGAUGGCAUCAUGAGUUCACAUGUCCGCAUGAUUAAAGGUAUUUUCCGGUAGACGAUGGGGAUGCGUUCCAUUAGAUAGUAGGCGGGGUAACGGCCCACCUAGUCAACGAUGGAUAGGGGUUCUGAGAGGAAGGUCCCCCACAUUGGAACUGAGACACGGUCCAAACUCCUACGGGAGGCAGCAGUGAGGAAUAUUGGUCAAUGGGCGAUGGCCUGAACCAGCCAAGUAGCGUGAAGGAUGACUGCCCUAUGGGUUGUAAACUUCUUUUAUAAAGGAAUAAAGUCGGGUAUGCAUACCCGUUUGCAUGUACUUUAUGAAUAAGGAUCGGCUAACUCCGUGCCAGCAGCCGCGGUAAUACGGAGGAUCCGAGCGUUAUCCGGAUUUAUUGGGUUUAAAGGGAGCGUAGAUGGAUGUUUAAGUCAGUUGUGAAAGUUUGCGGCUCAACCGUAAAAUUGCAGUUGAUACUGGAUGUCUUGAGUGCAGUUGAGGCAGGCGGAAUUCGUGGUGUAGCGGUGAAAUGCUUAGAUAUCACGAAGAACUCCGAUUGCGAAGGCAGCCUGCUA